rnacentral:tRNA from 1 species
CGGGAUGUUGCCUAGUGGCUAAGGCGCCUGCUUUGGGAGCAGGAGAUCGGGGGUUCGAAUCCCUCCAUCCCGACGA